UGCCCCGUAGCUCAGUUGGCAGAGCGACUGGCCGUUAACCAGUGCGUCGCAGGUUCGAGCCCUGCCGGGGCAGC
rnacentral:tRNA from 1 species